GAACAGCGGAGAGUGUGACUUUUACUCUAAAGGAACUUUUCACAUGGCAUUUUAUUAAUAAAUAUCAAAUGGAAAAUUUCAAAGUUCUUGCAGGUAGGCCAUAGUUAUACAUUGUCUGUGUCUUUCUAUGCCAUUCAUGUAAGGGAGGAAACAGAAAAAGCAAGUACCAUGGAAUACAUUGCUGGACCAUGGAGGAAGGAGUGUAAUUUUCAGUUGGGGAAAGCUGAGGUGGCUAUACAUUUGCUACCUGGAAGACUUAGUGUGUUUUGGAGAAAACCAAGGCAGGAGAUGUAAGAGUAACAAACACUUCCUCAUUGAAUGAUUACCAUUUGACACAUCGUUUCUUAAGCUCUCAUUUAAUUCCUCAAGUGGAUUUAGGGACAGUAUUCCUGUUUCUACUAACCAGGUAGAGAUGAGAUGCCUCACACUGACAGUGGUUCAUCUGCCCAGAACUGAGACCCGUGCAGACGUCUGCCUGACUCUUACUUUUCCCUCCAUUAUCUUCAGACUAAUCCAGAAGAACAAGUUGAACCUGGAGCAUCUAUACAGAAUGUAUCUUGUGAC
ensembl:antisense Gm37459 predicted gene, 37459